UUUUUUUUUUUUUUUUUUUUUUUUUUGAGACAGUCUCGCUCUUGUUGCCCAGGGUGGAGUGCAAUGGCACGAUAUCGGCUCACCACAACCUCUGCCUCCCAGGUUCGAGUGAUUCUCCUGCCUCUGCCGCCCGAGUAGCUAGGAUUACAGGCAUGCGCCACCACGCCCGGCUAAUUUUGUAUUUUUAGUCGAGACAGGGUUUCUCCAUGUUGGUCAGGCUGGUCUCGAACUCCCGACCUCAGGUGAUCCACCCGCCUCAACCUCCCAAAGUGCUGGCAUUACAGGCGUGAGCCACCACUCUCGGCCAGUUCUCUUUCUUUUAUGCUAAAUAAGAGUAAAGAAGAAAAGGGUCUUGAUUGCUGUUGGCAGAUAUUUUUGGAGGACCACUCCAAAAGUCAUCUUUAGGAGGAAGGCAGAAAUGGGGGAAGAAAGGAAACAAGAUCCUUGGUGAUCUGAAGUCAUGAAUCAAUCCUUACCUUAGGCUAGAUCUACCUUUGGACCUUUCAGUGCAAACAUCUAUAAAAUCUCUUGAUUAUCUGAAUCAGUCUUAGUUGGGAUUUUUGUUAUUUGCAAAUAAAAGCACCUUAACCAAUGUAAGGGCAAUAGUGAGACGUGUACUUCUCAGUCCCUAACCUCAGAGAAAGAGCUUCCAAUAUAGCUAGGAAGAUGAGACAUUUUUAUAGGAUAACUAGAGUGGCACAGAAGAAGAAUAUAGAUAUCAGACAUUGAGAGGUGAAGCCAGCUGGGCUUCUGGGUCAGGUGGGGACUUGGAGAACUUUUCUGUCUAGCUAAAGGAUUGUAAAUGCACCAAUCAGCGCUCUGUGUCUAGCUAAUUGGGUGGGGACUUGGAGAACUUUUGUGUCUAGCUAAAGGAUUGUAAACACACCAAUCAGCACUCUGUGUCUAGCUAAAGGUUUGUAAACACACCAAUCAGCACUCUGUCAAAACGGACCAAUCAGCUCUCUGUAAAAUGGACCAAUCAGUGCUCUGUAAAAUGGACCAAUCAGUGCUCUGUAAAAUGGACCAAUCAGCUUUCUGUAAAAUGGACCAAUCAGCAGGAUGUGGGUGGGGCCAAAUAAGGGAAUAAAAGCAAGCCACCCUCGGCAGCAGCAGCAAGGUGAAGAUUUGUUUUUUUUUUGUGGUGUGUAGUAAGUGUCGCUGCUGCUCACUCUUUGGGUCUGCACUGUUUUUGUGAGCUGUAACACUCACCCCGAAUGUCUGUAGCGUCACUUCUGAAGUCAGCGAGACCAGGAACCAACCAGAAAGAAGAAACUCGGUGCACAUCAGAGCAUCAGGAGGAAUAAACUCCGCACACACUAUCUUUAAGAACUGUAACACUCAUCGGGAGGGUCCGCGGCUUCAUUCUUGAAGUGAGUGAGACGAAGAACCCACCAAUUCCGGACCCAGCAUGACUGCAUAAGAUACGGUACGAAAUGGGUGUCACAAAACCAUGACAAACCAUAUGAAAGAUAGAAAAGAAUGCUAUAAGCUACUCAGGAGAAGAUACUAUUACCUGCAUCCCUUCUCUCUUACUUCUGUUAAGCAGGGUGAGGCCUCCUUAAGAGCGUGGUCUCUGGAGUCAGAUUGCAUACGCUUAAUUCUCAGCUUGUCUUAAAUCCCACUUAAAUUGUGUAGACUUAAAUUCCAUUUGCUAGUUUUGUGGUCUUGGGCUAGUAACUUUUCUGCACCUUAAUUUUCUGAUUUGUAAAGUAGGUAUAAAAAACAUAGUAAU
rnacentral:lncRNA from 1 species